UGUCCCGUGGUGUAAUUGGUAGCACGAAGGAUUCUGGUUCCUUUAGUCUUGGUUCGAGUCCAAGCGGGAUAG
rnacentral:tRNA from 1 species